rnacentral:rRNA from 1 species
AUUGAACGCUAGCGGGAUGCCUUACACAUGCAAGUCGAACGGAGUGGCGAACGGGUGAGUAAUGUAUCGGAACGUGCCCAGUAGCGGGGGAUAACUACGCGAAAGCGUAGCUAAUACCGCACACUAUUGGAGCGGCCGAUAUCGGAGUAGCUGGUUGGUGGGGUAACGGCUCACCAAGGCGACGAUCCGUAGCUGGUUUGAGAGGACGACCAGCCACACGGGGACUUGGACAUGGCCCAGACUCAUACGGAGGGCAGCAGUGAGGAAUGUUGGCAAAUGGGGGAAGCCCUGAUCCACACGUCCCGCGUGUGCGAUGAAGUCCUUCGGGUUGUAAAGCACUUUUGGCAGGAAAGCGGUACCUGCAGAAUAAGCACCGGCUAACUACGUGCCAGCAGCCGCGGUAAUUC